AAAAAAGUUAAACUUGGACACUUUGAGCCUAUUUGAGUGAUAACAAAUAAUCUAUGGAGAGAUAAGCAAACAAAUUCUUACAUUUCUGCCAAUCAUAGAUAAGAAAAUCAUUAAAUACUGCCCCAAUUCAAGUAUUCAAUAAUUGUGAAAUAGCUGGGACAAUCAAUAACUUAUCCUUUAUGAUGUCCUGGAUAACAAAAAACAUUCAGCUGUGAUGGGGCACAGCAUCAGCAUAAAGUGAUAUAAUCACUUUUUUUCAGCAUACAAAAAAAAAGGAGCACAUCAGGUUUGCAAGAGAUGGGCUCAAAAUCUUUAGUCUCUAAACUGUAAGCUCAAGGUUAAACAGACAAAGCAAAGGAGUGCUCCAACUGUCUUUAAAAUGGUGGGGAAGAGGAGGGAGGGAGGAGAGAGAGAAACAGACAACAUACAACAGUAAAGGGCAAAUGACAUGUCAAAGAACUAAAAAGGUUGGUUUCUAAGCAACCUGAAUCAAUCAAAAUGGGAUCAAAUGCUGAAGGGCAGCUAAGUCACCACAUGAACCAGAAGAGAUGGGUAUCAGAACAAAAGUGAGAGCAAAGAACUACCUGGAAGAUGCAUCACAAUGCUAGUUCCAGAGUGCAGAGAAGUGCUAGGCCUAAGAAUGAUGCAUAAGUAUGUGUGACAUGUGUGACAAUGUGUAACCCAUUAGGUUAGAUAAUCAUCUUUUAUUUAAAUGGCAGUGAUCACUGUAGUGUCUGAAUCAUGCUGUGCACUUUGAAAACUUUUUAUAGGAGCUUAUAUAUAUAAAUAAAGUUUUACGUUAAAUUACUGUCCAUUUAAGUGUGUGUUAAAAUUUUCUUAACAAGAGUUGCUAGUUAUUAUAUUCUUGCGUACAACAUGCCCCUGAACAAGAUAUGCACUUUGUUAAAAGGUAAAAUAAAGGGGAGGGAGCCUUCCUUGUACAUUAUUGGGGAGGGGUGGGUAGGGAGGCAGCUGUAGUAGAGAGGAAGACAAAUGUUGUGGCUGCUCUGUUAACCUUCUAGUUGAGCCAAACUAUUCACCUCCCUGUUUUCUUGAGCUGAGCUGGGUGGGCAGCUAGCAGCACCUUCCAGGUCUGCUGAAGACCCAAUCCUAGCCAAGGGUUAAAUCACCUGGGAGCCUACCCAACUGAUUCAGCAGGAAUUGCCCCAGCCCCCAGGGCUCACCUCCAUUUUAGAAGUACAACAGAAGCUCCUGCUGAGUCGAUAGUGGCUUCUGCAGCAUAAAUAUCUGCUUGGAGGGGGUGGGGGAAAAGAGAAAGUAUCAAUAGUCGGCACCUAGGGAGCCUUGCACGCUCACUGUGCUUGCCCCUUAUGCAGUGCUACUUUCUCUUUUCCCCUGGUAGAGGCUCCUGUGGCAGAAGCUGGUAUCACACAGUAUCUUAAAACAUGCACCCCAAUUUCCAGCAGCUGAUUUUUGGGG